rnacentral:tRNA from 1 species
AAGGCUUUAAGUUAAAAAAACUAAUAGCCUUCAAAGUUAUAAAUAUAAGUCUAACCCUUUUAAGCCUUA